ACACAUGGAUAAACAUGGCUGAUUUAGCAGUUUCUCUGUAGAGUUAAUCAAGACUUUGUUUUUGGUGUCUCCAAGGACUGUAUCUGAGAAUGGCAGAGUCAGCUGAAGAAGACAGACCAGAGAAAGUAGGGCUGAAAUUGGUCUCUUUAACCACGGCAAUGCCAACAUGGCUGAAGGAGAGGUGGGGACCCAAACUGUAUGCAUUGUUCCAGAUGCGCUCUUGCCAAAACAGCAUAAAGCAAAUGUAACAGUUAAGAAGAAGGCUCCCUCCCUCAUCAGGCCCCUGGCAUCUGACGUAUGGCGAGCUUUAGCAUAAGGACCUACCAAGACCUGCCUGAUGUUCUGAACAUGUAUAUCCUCCAAAGUCUAGAAUCUCAGCUGGAACCAGAUGGACACUUGUUCCCGCAACCAGGGCUCUUGCUGAUGGUUCUCUCCACAUCUCAGUUGAUUGCUGGUUUUCUCUUUCUUGCUCUCCUGUCUCUCUCCAAACACCUCUUGAUUGCCUUUUCUAGGGACAGACCUUAGAAAGAUGGGCCAGGACUUGGGAUUCUGCAUUGUACCCUGCAGUCCCAAGCCAGCAUCCACUGCACCCCAUCUUCAAGGCACCAACCCCCAAAUAGAUGCUUGAAGGCAUCAGCUUCUGAGAGCCCACUUUUCGUCUGCAUGACUAGCUUGUAAGGAGGGAUAUAUAGAGAGAAUUUCCAAGAAUUUUCCACUUUUUCAAAAAAUGUAUGUGACUUAUUUUUGGCUUUGAACUGAAAGCAGAUUCAUGGUGUACAUCUCUGUCUACUUGUGCACAUCUGUGAACUCUGGAGAAAUUGAUGCAACGUUCUCCUUCCUAUCUGGGCUGUUUGUAUAAUUGUAUAUAAAUGUAGCAAUAAAUAUAUUCUAACACCA